UACGAAGGAUGCAAGCGUUAUUCGGAAUCAUUGGGCGUAAAGGGUGCGUAGACGGUAUGUUAAGUCUGUUGUUAAAUCUUCCGGCCUAACCGGAAAUCUGCAGUAGAUACUGAUGUGCUAGAGGGUGGAAGAGAGAAGUGGAAUUCUCGGAGUAGCGGUAAAAUGCGUAGAUCUCGAGGGGAACACCAAUGGCGAAGGCAGCUUCUUGGUCCAUACCUGACGUGAGGCACGGAAAGCGUGGGGAGCAAACAGG
rnacentral:rRNA from 1 species